ACACGUUUAAAUUGUAAUGGGCGGACAGCUGACGUUCAAUUUGAUCUGAUUCUACAUAACAACAAAAUCAUAACGUUAACAUGGAUAUGUUACAUAUACAGUCAUGGAGAAGAAGGAUCUGCGAGGUUGGCAAUUAGAUAGCUUGAAAAAUGCUGCUUGAAAAUGCCAAGAAGAGGUGUAAAACAGCUGACUGGGUGAUAUUACCAAGGUCUAGGCUGAGCUGAAUCAGAAACACAACGAGGAACAGCACCACUCAUCAUGAGGAGGAGGAGCAGACGAAAAGGUACGUGCAUCAUGCGUAUGGACUGGGAGGACAUUACAACUCAGUGGGACGUCUGAAGGAACUCAAGAAGACAGCUGACACUCAUUGAGUUAAAUUAUAACAGACGAUAAAGUCAAGCAUGGGUGGAAAUUGAAUAAAAUGUGGGAACCCACCAAUGUAAAAACCUAUGCAGUGUUUAUGAAUACUUCUGAAAUCACCAUGGAAAUUUUGUCUAUUAAAUAUAUAUUUUGGUGGUGAUGUGCUGUUAUUUCUAAUGACAGCAAUAUAUCAAAGGCC